UACGUAGGGGGCGAGCGUUGUCCGGAUUUAUUGGGCGUAAAGAGCUCGUAGGCGGUUCGAUAAGUCGGACGUGAAAUCUCCACGCUCAACGUGGAGGGGCCGUUCGAUACUGUCGUGACUCGAGUCCGGUAGGGGAGUGUGGAAUUCCCGGGUGUAGCGGUGAAAUGCGCAGAGAUCGGGAGGAACACCCGUAGCGAAGGCGGCACUCUGGGCCGGUACUGGACGCUGAGGAGCGAAAGCGUGGGGAGCAA
rnacentral:rRNA from 1 species